rnacentral:rRNA from 1 species
AGAGUUUGAUCAUGGCUCAGAUUGAACGCUGGCGGCAGGCCUAACACAUGCAAGUCGAACGGUAACAGGAAGCAGCUUGCUGCUUCGCUGACGAGUGGCGGACGGGUGAGUAAUGUCUGGGAAACUGCCUGAUGGAGGGGGAUAACUACUGGAAACGGUGGCUAAUACCGCAUAACGUCGCAAGACCAAAGAGGGGGACCUUCGGGCCUCUUGCCAUCAGAUGUGCCCAGAUGGGAUUAGCUUGUUGGUGAGGUAACGGCUCACCAAGGCGACGAUCCCUAGCUGGUCUGAGAGGAUGACCAGCCACACUGGAACUGAGACACGGUCCAGACUCCUACGGGAGGCAGCAGUGGGGAAUAUUGCACAAUGGGCGCAAGCCUGAUGCAGCCAUGCCGCGUGUAUGAAGAAGGCCUUCGGGUUGUAAAGUACUUUCAGCGGGGAGGAAGGUGUUGUGGUUAAUAACCGCAGCAAUUGACGUUACCCGCAGAAGAAGCACCGGCUAACUCCGUGCCAGCAGCCGCGGUAAUACGGAGGGUGCAAGCGUUAAUCGGAAUUACUGGGCGUAAAGCGCACGCAGGCGGUCUGUCAAGUCGGAUGUGAAAUCCCCGGGCUCAACCUGGGAACUGCAUUCGAAACUGGCAGGCUUGAGUCUUGUAGAGGGGGGUAGAAUUCCAGGUGUAGCGGUGAAAUGCGUAGAGAUCUGGAGGAAUACCGGUGGCGAAGGCGGCCCCCUGGACAAAGACUGACGCUCAGGUGCGAAAGCGUGGGGAGCAAACAGGAUUAGAUACCCUGGUAGUCCACGCCGUAAACGAUGUCUACUUGGAGGUUGUGCCCUUGAGGCGUGGCUUCCGGAGCUAACGCGUUAAGUAGACCGCCUGGGGAGUACGGCCGCAAGGUUAAAACUCAAAUGAAUUGACGGGGGCCCGCACAAGCGGUGGAGCAUGUGGUUUAAUUCGAUGCAACGCGAAGAACCUUACCUGGUCUUGACAUCCACGGAACUUUCCAGAGAUGGAUUGGUGCCUUCGGGAACCGUGAGACAGGUGCUGCAUGGCUGUCGUCAGCUCGUGUUGUGAAAUGUUGGGUUAAGUCCCGCAACGAGCGCAACCCUUAUCCUUUGUUGCCAGCGGUCCGGCCGGGAACUCAAAGGAGACUGCCAGUGAUAAACUGGAGGAAGGUGGGGAUGACGUCAAGUCAUCAUGGCCCUUACGACCAGGGCUACACACGUGCUACAAUGGCGCAUACAAAGAGAAGCGACCUCGCGAGAGCAAGCGGACCUCAUAAAGUGCGUCGUAGUCCGGAUUGGAGUCUGCAACUCGACUCCAUGAAGUCGGAAUCGCUAGUAAUCGUGGAUCAGAAUGCCACGGUGAAUACGUUCCCGGGCCUUGUACACACCGCCCGUCACACCAUGGGAGUGGGUUGCAAAAGAAGUAGGUAGCUUAACCUUCGGGAGGGCGCUUACCACUUUGUGAUUCAUGACUGGGGUGAAGUCGUAACAAGGUAACCGUAGGGGAACCUGCGGUUG